UACGUAGGGGCAAGCGUUGUCCGGAUUUAUUGGCGUAAAGAGCGUGUAGGCGGCUAGAUAGGUCCGUUGUGAAAACUCGAGGCUCAACCUCGAGACGUCGAUGGAAACCAUCUGGCUAGAGUCCGGAAGAGGAGAGUGGAAUUCCUGGUGUAGCGGUGGAAUGCGCAGAUAUCAGGAGGAACACCGAUGGCGAAGGCAGGUCUCUGGGCCAUUACUGACACUGAGAAGCGAAAGCAUGGGGAGCGAACAGG
rnacentral:rRNA from 1 species